rnacentral:rRNA from 1 species
UGGGGAAUAUUGCACAAUGGGGGAAACCCUGAUGCAGCAACGCCGCGUGAGUGAAGAAGUAUUUCGGUAUGUAAAGCUCUAUCAGCAGGGAAGAUAAUGACGGUACCUGACUAAGAAGCUCCGGCUAAAUACGUGCCAGCAGCCGCGGUAAUACGUAUGGAGCAAGCGUUAUCCGGAUUUACUGGGUGUAAAGGGUGCGUAGGUGGCAGGGCAAGUCAGAUGUGAAAGACCGGGGCUCAACCCCGGGGCUGCGUUUGAAACUGCUUUGCUGGAGUGCAGGAGAGGCAGGCGGAAUUCCUAGUGUAGCGGUGAAAUGCGUAGAUAUUAGGAGGAACACCAGUGGCGAAGGCGGCCUGCUGGACUGAUACUGACACUGAGGCACGAAAGCGUGGGGAGCAAACAGGAUUAGAUACCCUGGUAGU